AUUCACAGUGGUGAAAGGGAGAAGGAAACUCAAAGCUUCAAGCUCAUUUUAUCCUUUAAAAUGACAUUGAGGCCACCAGAGUUGGCUGAGCCCUGUGCAGCCCCAGUCAGGACCUGCUGAAGCGCUAUCUGCAUAAUUGCUUAAAGAUUUUACUGCAAAAUUAAUAUCCUUGCUGUGAACAAGGCGAAAACCAGGAUGACAGAGCCUGAGAUGAGGGGAGACCUAAGGACACGUUUACCUUCUCUCAGCGAACACCACAUAUUUUCAUUUGACCAUCUGUACUGAGACAAAUUUCAGUGGUAUCGGCAUACCACAUGUGGCUUGUGCCACAUGCAUUUGUUCCUCAGUAACUUACAAUAUUUUUUCAAAUCUUCACAACAUAGUUUAUUAAAAUUUGAAUUGGACUGCAAAUAAAAUACAGUUAAGACAUGGAGCAAAUAUACUGUUCUGAUGAAUCGCAACAAAACACAUGAUCUUAGAUGUCAUCAGUUUCUACCUUACUUUCCAAAUAAAAUAUUUGACUUCAGAGCAGCCAAGAGACUUAGCCAAAAAUCAUAUAGUUAGAGACAGAAUUUGAACAAAAACCUAGAUAUCCUGGUUUUCAAUCUAAAGUUCUUUACAUUAUACUCCUUGUUAGUUCUCUUGGAAAUAUUUUACAAGUUUUCUGAAAUAGCAUUGUGUUUUGAAAUAAUUUGAAUGCUAAUUAGA
rnacentral:lncRNA from 1 species